rnacentral:snRNA from 1 species
GGAUAUGAUAGCUAGUUGGCUGCGACAUCUGUUACGCCAUUGCGCGUACCAGGUUAGGUGGGUGUCCCCUUGCUCCUUCAUUUCUUUUUUUUUUUUUUUUGUCUUGUUUUUUUUUUUUAAAAAAACAUUUAUUUAUUAUGUAUACAUCAUACUGCUUUCUGCCUGCAUAUACGCCUGCAGGCCAGAAGAGGGCACCAGACCUGAUUAUAGAUGGUUGUGAGCCACCAUGU